GUGGUCGCAGACUCACUCUUUCCUGCAGGAUUUAUUCUUCCUGUAAGUAACGAAAUGCAAAACUAGAAGGAAACAUCUGUGCAUGGCAAUAAUUGAAUGACUCAAACCCAUAGCAAUUCAUAAGGUCAAAGUUGAUACUAAACACAAAGUAGCUAUUUAAAUUCUAAUUCUAAAGGAUAGUCCACUUUGAAAGGGAGCUUAAUAACCCCUCCAGAGAAGCCCAAAGCCUCUGAUCAAGGAGGGUACUUCAGGAGUCUAACAACCAAUCUCCGGCAAUGCAGUGAAGGCAAUUUCGUUGUUAGAGAAGACCAAGGCAGGCAAUCCAGUUUAAAACAGAGAUAGAUGACCAAUUCCCAGCCUCGACGAUGAUGGCAACAACAGUUUAGGAGGAUUUUGUAGGCAGUCCAGUACGGAAGCAAAACUUGAUGAUGCAUUUCGUUCAAUGUUGAAGACUUGCCUAAAAACUAACUUUGAGAAAAAGGUAUAGCUUGUGACGAAGCAAAGAACAGAGUUAUGCUUUGAAGAUAACGAUGUCCUGUUGUCGGUCUGUCUGCGAAUUGUCCUUUUGUAGAAAUGAGUUAACAUGAAGAAUACGAAGGUUGAUGUACUAUGAAACUAAGAAACAUAAUGCUCAGAGAGAUUGAAGUGUCAAUGAUGACACGUUGUUGGGUGGGAAGCUCUAGUCAAUUUCAUCCUUCACAUUUAAACACCUCUGAAACAGUAACUGGCUAACUGCUCCUACCCAUUAUAGAGAUGCAGCUUCCUUGACGUGCUUGAUUUGGGAGUAUGUUGUACCACCUCCGCAAACGUAUGCAUUUCACACAGACCACAGGUCCACAACAGCUGACUGCUUUAUCUUCAAAACACGCCUCUUUGUUUCAAAGUCAAGAGUCGAACUAUCAACAUUGGCAGAAAUUGCUCACCAGACUUCUAAACCAAACUCAACUUUAAACAUUCUCCAAAUACCGCUAUAAGGUCUCCCUAAAACUCUCCAUGAGAUCAAGUAACAGAGUAUUCCAAAGAAGAUAUUAAUAUCCGGGCCUACCCAGUCCCUACGGCACUACAGGCUGCCUCAUCCGAUGUUACUUGGGGAUCACAAUUCACCACAAAGGUCUCUUUUGGAUAAUACAAAACUCAACCAUACAAAGAGCUUAUUCAAGAGACACUUAAAUAGAUUGAUAGAUUCGUAUACAUACCAGAAACUUCGGCGAUCUUCUUU